UUUCUGUGUCAUACCUCUCAAUUUCUUAUGUUUUAUCUUACCAGAGCUGGUAUAUUAUAGGUAAAAAGCAAGGAGUAGUCAUUGGCAAAACCUGAGUCCUGUCCUCCUGCUCUCCUCCCUGGACAGCAUUAGCCUCACCACUCGCUACACCUUCUCCACAAACUACCAGCCUGGGCUCUGAGCCAGCUACGGCACCCAGCCGGUCAGCAACAGGGCCAGCGUCUGUGCAGGUGCCAGGGGCUCAGGCUCCCAAAUCUCUGUGUCCUGCUCCGCCGAUUUCUGGGGUCUGGAGGCCUGGCCACAGGGGGUCUGGCAGGAAUGGGGGGCCUCCAGAAUGAGAAGGAGACCAUGCAAAGCCUGAACGAUUGCCUGGCCUCCUACAUAGACAGAGUGAGGAGCCUGGAUACUGAGAACCAGAGGCUGAAGAGCAAAAUUUGGGAGCAUCUGGAGAAGGGACCCUAGGUCAGAGACUAGGGGCCGUUACUUCAAGACCACUGAGGACCUGAGGGCUCAGAUCUUCACAAUACUGUGGACAAUAUUGACAUCAUUCUGCAGAUCUACAAUGCACAUUCGCUGCUGAUAACUUCAGAGUCAAGUACGAGACAAAGCUGGCCAUGUGCCAGUCUGUGGAGAGCGACAUCCAUAGGCUCCACAGGGUCAUUGAUGAUACCAGUGUCACUCACUCGGCUGCAGCAGGAGACAGAUCAAGGCUGUCAAGGAGGAGCUGCUCUUCAUGGAGAAGAACCACAAAGAGGAAGUAAAAGGCCUACAAACUCAGAUUGCUAGCUCUGGGUUGACCAUGGAGGUAGAUGCUCCCAAAUCUCAGGACCUCACCAAAAUCAUGGCAGACAUCAGGGCCCAAUACAAUGAGCUGGCUCAGAAGAACCAACAGUAGUGGACAAGUGCUGAUCUCAGCAGAUUGAGGAGAGCACCACAGUGGUCACCACGCAGUCUGCCAAGGUCAGAGCUGCUGAGAUGACAUGGAGCUGAGACGUAUAGUCCAAUCCUUGGAGAUCGACCUGGAGUCAAUGAGAAAUCUGAAGGCCCCCUUGGAGAACAGCCUGAGGGAGGUGGAGGCUUGCUAUGCCCUGCAGAUGGAGCAGCUCAACAGGAUCCUGCUGCACCUGGAGUCAGAGCUGGCACAGACCUGGGCUGAGGGACAGCACCAGGCCCAGGAGUACAAGACCCUAAUGAACAUCAAGGUCAAGCUGGAGGCUGAUUGCCACCUACCACCGCCUGCUGGAAGACAGCAAGGACUUCAAUACUCGUGAUGCCCUGGACAGCAGCAACUCCAUGCAAACCAUCUAAAACCAUCACUGACCAGAUAGUGAAUGGCAAAGUGGUAUCUGAGACCAGUGACACUGAAGUUAUGAGACAUUAAGCCAGCAGAAACAGUACCCUUUGGGGAGCAAAAAGCCAAUAAAAAGUUGAGAGGUGGAAAAAAAAAAAAAAAAGGAAUAGUCCAUGGUAAUUAAAAAAACGUAUAUAUUCUUUUGAGAUGGAGUUUUGCUCUUUUUGCCCAGGCUGGAGUGCAAAGGCACUGUCUCGGUUCACUGCAACCUCUGCCUCCCAGGUUCAAGUGAUUCUCUUGCCUUAGCCUCCCAAGUAGCCGGGAUUACAGGCGCCCACCACCAUGCCCAGCUAAUUUUUGUAUUUUUGGUAAGAGCUGGGGUUUCACUGUUGGCCAAGCUGGUCCCGAAUUCCUGACCUCAGGUGAUCUGCCCACCUUGGCCUCCCAAAGUGUUGGAAUUGCAAACAUGAGUCACAGUGCCCAGCCUAAAAAAUGUAUUUAAAGAAAUAAGUCAUUGGCAUGUUUCAUUAGGAAAAAGGUGUCACAGUUAUUGUUACUAUCUUGGAUCACCUGAUGACUCAGUUUUUUUUUUAAUUUUUAUUUUUCUGGGUACAUAGGUGUCUAUAUUCAUGGUGUACAUGAGAUAUUUUGAUACAACCAUCCCAUGCAUAAUAAUUACAUUAUGUCAAAUAGGCCUCUCAUCCCCUCAAACAUUUAUCCUUUGUGUUACAAACACUCCAAAUGCAGACUCCGUUUUUGUUUGUUUUGUUUGUUGAGAUGGAGUUUUGCUCCUGUCACCCAGGCUGGAGUGCAGUGGUGCAAUCUUCGCUCACUGCAACCUCUGCUUCCCAGGUUCAAGCAAUUCUCCUGCCUCAGCCUCCUGAGUAGCUGGGAUUACAGGUUUGCACCAUCACAUCCGGCUAAUUUUUAUAUUUUUAGUAGAGAUAGGGUUUUGCCAUAUUGGCCAGGCUGAUCUCGAACUCCUGACCUCUGCUGAUUCACCUGCCGCGGCCUCCCAAAGCGCUGAGAUUAUAGGCAUGAGCCACCACACCCGGCCCAGACUCCAUUUUUUUUUAUGGGGUAGAUUUGUAGAAAAUUAACAACUUAGAAGUUACAGUCUAUAUUCCAACUUUUUUUAUAAGCUUAUUUUCCUAUAUAAAAUGUUUAGUGUCUCAGCAGACGCUCGGAACUGCCGACCCAAGAGCUUCCCGCAUAGGGCUGGUGGCGGGAGCGGAGUGGGUCAGGCGGGGCGGAGCCGGGGCCGUGGGCAGUGUGGGGUCCGGGCGGCGGCCAGGCCAGCGGAUGGCAGGAUGGGGUGCACCGUGAGCAUCGAGGACAAGAUGGUGGCUGAGUGCUCUAAGAUGAUCAACAAGAACCUGCGAGAAGGCGGCGCGGGAGGUGAAGUUGCUGCUGUUGGGUGCUGGGGAGUCAGGGAAGAGCACCAUCAUCAAGCAGAUGAUCAUCCAGGAGGAUGGCUACUCCGAGGAGGAAUGCCGGCAGUACAGGGCGGUUGUCUACAGCAACACUGUCCAGUCCAUCAUGGCCAUUGUCAAGGCCAUGGGCAACCUGCAGAUCGAUUUCGCCGACCCCUGCAGAGCGGAUGAUGCCAGGCAGCUGUUUGCACUGUCCUGCACUGCUGAGGAGCAGGGCGUGCUCCCUGAUGACCUGUCCGGCGUCAUCCGGAGGCUCUGGGCUGACCAUGGUGUGCAGGCCUGCUUUGGCCACUUGGGGGAAUACCUGCUUAACGACUCAACCGCCUACUACCUGAAUGACCGGGAGUGCAUUGCACAGAGUGACUACAUGCCCACACAGCAAGAUGUGCUAGGACCCACGUAAAGACCACAGGGAUCGUGGAGACACACUUCACCUUCAAGGACUUACACUUCAAGAUGUUUGAUGUGGGUGGUCAGCGGUCUGAGCAAAAGAAGUGAAUCCACUGCUUUGAGGGUGGCACAGCCAUCCUCUUCUGCAUAGCAUUGAGCUCCUAUGACUUGGUGCUAGCUGAGGACGAGGAGAUGAACUGCAUGCAUGAGAGCAUGAAGCUAUUCGACAGCAUCUGCAACAAGUGGUCCACAGACAUGUCCAUCAUCCUCUUCCUCAACAAGAAGGAUCUAUUCAAGGAGAAGAUCACACACAGUCCCCUGGUCAUCUGCUUCCCUGAGUACACAGGGGCCAACAAGUAUGAUGAGGCAGCCAGCCACAUCCAGAGUAAGUUUGAGGACCUGAAUAAGCGCAAAGAUACCAAGGAGAUCUACACGCACUUCACGUGUGCCACCAACACCAAGAACGUGCACUUUGUGUUUGACGCCAUCACUUGAUGUCAUUAUCAAGAACAACCUGAAGGACUGCGGCCUCUUCUGAGGGGCAGCAGGGCCUGGCAGGAUGGGCCGCCGCCAACUCUGUACCCCCAACCCCUGAGGAAGAUGGGGGCAAGAAGACCACGCUCCCCGCUUGUUCCCCCAGCCGCUUUUCUCCUCUUUCCUCUCUUUGUUCUCAGCUCCCCAUCCCCUCAGCUCCAGACAUAGGGGAGGGGUUGCCACAGGCCUCCCUGUUUGAAGCCUGCCCUUGUUUGAGGUGCCAGUAAUGGCCAUGGUACCCCCUUUCUGGGCAUCUGUUCUGGUUUUUAACCAUUGUCUAGUUCUGUGAUGGGGGGAGGGGGGCACAUGCUGAGUCUCCCAAGGCUGCAUCUGGAGGAGCCCCCACUUCGCCAGCCUGGACCCCUAGCUUUGUCCAACACCAGCCUCUGCCCCAGCCCAAGUCCAAAUGUUUACGGGAGCCUCCUGCCCAGUUCCCCAUCCCACAGCCGCUUGGAGGCCCCAAAGGAAAAAGCACAAGAAGCGUGAGAUGCCACCAUUCCUGGAGACCACAGUCCACCUGCUCAUUCUCGUAGCUUUUU